AGUUGCUAAAGCCAGGCCAGUGAGACAUAGAGCUGAGACAGGCAAUGGGAGCCCUGGAUUAGGGGAAGAGAAGAGGAGAGAGGUCCAUACCGCUGCACAGUGAGGACAAGCUGAUUUCCUGAGGCAUCGAUGAGGCUCAUGGCACUGGCAUGGGAGAGGUUGGUGCAAGAGACCCCAUUGAUUGCCAAGAGCUGGUCCCUCUCUCGGAGUCCUGCUCUGCCAGCCUGGCUCCGUCUUCGAAUCUGAGAUGUUGAAGGAGACACUGUAGGGACCUCGCGCUGACAUCUGGGAAAUGCCAUUCAUACUGGAACCUCCGACACACUGCCAUGAAUGUGAGGGUUUCGUGACUGAUGGGGAGACUGCAGUCAAAUAAAACAGAUACUACACGCACUCGUCGGGGCAGCCGUACUGCAGAAGCACGUUGAUGCACUCCUGGCUGGAGGCCUGCCGGGCGUAGGUCAGCGCUGUGUUCCCGUGGGCAUCUCGGGCCAUGACGUCCACCCCGUACCAGAUCAGGAGCUGUGCCAGGACCACAUUCCCCUUGCGGCAGGCCAGAUGGAGCGCCGUGCAGCCGUCUCCCUCCCCACAGGUCUCGUUCACCUCCUCACGGGAGCCAUGUGCCAGCAGCAGGAUGGCUGUCUGCAGGUCCUCAUCAGCGGUGGCCCGCAGCAGGUGCUGGCCCAGGGACAGCUCAGUGCAGGGUAGUGGGGCCAGAAAGAGCUUCUCCUCAUAUUUGGAACGGAUCCACCGUUCCUUCUCUUCCCUCGUGGACUUUACUGAGGGUUUUGUCUGCCCCUGGCUGCUCCCUUCCCAGAUGCUGUUGGCUAGGUCAUUGCCAAUAGAUGACAUAACCUUCCUGAGCUCAACUGGCCAGUCAUCCAGCUCCAGAGAUCGCACACGGGAAAGGCGGGUGCCAAGACUGCGGUGGAUUCCUGAGCAUUCAAUACACAUGAGGACUCCCAAGUUCAAACUGGCCCACUUAGGAUUCUGGGUCUCAUAGUCCACACAGUGGGCGUUCCCACGCAUGUUUUGGAUCGACUGCAGGGCCAUGGCCUCGCUCUGGCUGGUCAGCUGGGACUUGCUUUUACUGCUCUCGCAUGACUGCAGGCUGGCCAGGAUCUGGCUCUGGAUGGCUUGGACCCAGGCAUCCCGCUCCUCAUACGUCGUGGCUUCAAAGUGCCAUGUUUGGCCAGUGGCAGACACAAUCAUAAAGUUGUUGGUGCUUUUCUUC
rnacentral:lncRNA from 1 species